CCUACGGGAGGCAGCAGUGGGGAAUAUUGCACAAUGGGGGAAACCCUGAUGCAGCGACGCCGCGUGAGUGAAGAAGUAUUUCGGUAUGUAAAGAUCUAUCAGCAGGGACGAGACAAGACGGUACCCGCCUAAGAAGCCCCGGCUAACUACGUGCCAGCAGCCGCGGUAAUACGGAGGGGGCAAGCGUUAUCCGGAAUCACUGGGCGUAAAGGGAGCGUAGGCGGCUGUGCAAGCCUGAAGUGAAAGGCGGGGGCCCAACCCCUGGAGUGCUUUGGGUACUGUACGGCUUGAGUGCAGGAGAGGUAAGUGGAAUUCCUAGUGGAGCGGUGAAAUGCGUAGAUAUUAGGAGGAACACCAGUGGCGAAGGCGGCUUACUGGACUGUAACUGACGUUGAGGCUCGAAAGCGUGGGGAGCAAACAGGAUUAGAUACCCCUGUAGUC
rnacentral:rRNA from 1 species